CUACUGUUUCGUAGGUGACCUGCGGAAGGACAUUAU
rnacentral:rRNA from 1 species